CACGUAGGGCGCGAGCGUUGUCCGGAAUUAUUGGGCGUAAAGAGCUCGUAGGCGGCCUGUUGCGUCCGCUGUGAAAGCCCGGGGCUUAACCCCGGGUCGGCAGUGGAUACGGGCAGGCUAGAGGUAGGUAGGGGAGAAUGGAAUUCCUGGUGUAGCGGUGGAAUGCGCAGAUAUCAGGAGGAACACCGGUGCGAAGGCGGUCUCUGGGCCGUAUGAUGCGUGAGGAGCGAAAGCGUGGGGAGCGAACAGG
rnacentral:rRNA from 1 species